AUUGGAAGCAGCCACGCUGCUUACUUGAAAACAGAUGCUGCUAAACUCUCAGGCUGUAGCUCUUAUAAUAAAAGAGGGAUCUCGUGGAAAAUCACAGAUAGGCCUACCUUAAAUACAACCGAGGCAGCUAGCUGAUCCCAAACAAUAAUCAAAUCAACGACCCAGCAUGGAUCUACUAUAUGUCUCCUUCUGAUCUAUGUUCACCUUGGCGCUGUACCUGUACAUACCAAAGACCACCUCUGCAUUCUUCUGAUGAGCCUUCACCUCUAUGCAAUGAGGUCAUGAGUCGUCUCAAGGUGUGGUGUGUUGUCAUGGCAGCACAGCCUGAGGCGGGACGCUACCUGCAUGCCUCAACAGAGGGUAAUGUUCUCACAGGCUGAGAUUAGGAGAGAGGGUAAUCAUACAUUUCGAUGAUUGCAUCAUCGGAGUUGAGUCACACUGUCAUCACAGAGUAAGUCCGACAAUCAAGACUACUCCUGCUCCUAAUGACGUCUUUAAAAGUUUUGAAAUACAUCUUAGAUGUUGUGACUAAAAGGACAGUUUGUACAAACCAACAUGUUGUCAUGGCAUCUCUUUGGCAAUAGAUGGAUGAUUUUUUUUUAUUGACAAAUUGGACUAAAAUCAACUGUUAAUUUGAUUGGGUGACUGUAUUUAUCCAUGGUGGAACCUUGUCAGGACAGGGUUUAUUUUCAAUCUCAGAAAAGCUGGUUUUUCAUUAAAGUGGCAUCAAGGGAGGGUUUAUCUCUAAGUAAGGUGUGUGAAACAGAUGCUCAAGCUGUCAUACAAAGGUUUCAAAUAUAGCUUUUGGUUAAAAAAUGAACAUAAAUCCUCAAAGAGAGGCCUCAAACUAUACAACAAUAGAGUACAACAUAUACUCGCAGCAGCAAUGACCCUGAAAUUAAAUUUAAUACAGAAAUACAGUUAUGUGCUUGUGGUUUGGGCCUGUAGGGUGCUAACGAUCUACCUCGGGGCCCGACGUGCCACUGUCUUAGCCACUAGGCCAGGGCUGGAGAGGGGGUGGUGGACAGAGUCAAGCUUGACAUAUGUGUGUCGAGCUUGGUAGCCAAGGUCAAGCUCGAUGGCAUCUCAUUUGUCCGGACCUUUCACUCCUGGUAAUAUGCCAAAAAACUGCUGGUGUUUUUUUUUUGUUUACUUAAAUUUUAUUUGCCUUUUUUUUGUACAAUAACAACAAAAACAAAACAUACAAACAUGCAAACAAAUCCUGGUGUCGGAAAGGAGUCACCCAUUUAGCCUCCAUUGAAGCUGUCCAUUCUUUUCAUGUUAUGUGAACAGAUUUAUAUUUGUUCCAUUUUUCCCACUAUUGGGUGCUUGAAUCUUGUUGAAGCUGUAAAGCAUGUGUAAAUUUCUCCAUAUCAUGUAUUCAUUCCACAAUUUCCAGCCAGUUUUUUCUGAUUGAGGGGGUCCUGCUUACACCAUUGCCUUGUAAUAGCCUUCUUUCAUGCUGCAAGAAGUAUUUCAGCCAAGUAUAUGUCUUUAGCUUGUAAGUUUUCUUGUAUUGAAUUACCCAGGUGUAAUACCUCAAAAGUCAUGGGAAGCUCAUAUCCUAAUAUUGCUUUCAUUCAUUUCCCUACUUCUUCCCAAUAUGUAGUUAUUUUCAUACAAUGCCAGAAAACAUGGGUAUGAUCAACAUCCUGCUCUCCACACUUUCUCCAGCAGGCCUGUGAGACCUGCAGAAAUCUUUUCUUCAAACUAGGGGUGAUAAAAAAAUCUGACAAUAUUACUCCAACUGCUGGUGGUUUUCAGGCAUCCGGGGCUUGUGGCAACCCCACUGCCUGGGUGUGGACUUUGUAAUUUUUUCAACAGAUAAUUUCCCCAUGACAGCAAGCAAGGACAUCCAGAGCAUUAAUGGGGUUGUGUUUAUCCUCCCUCCUGCCUGAUGGUGCUCUUAGGCAACUUACCUGCCACACCUUACUUCAGCCUCAAUUUUUGCCUAUAAGUUCUGCUCAGUACUGUAUCUAUUUUUUAGGUAAGGCCAGAAUUUUUAAUUUGCUCUCCAAUAAAACAAUCAAUCAAUCAAAAGAAGAUAUCCUGACUGUCCGCUGUACAUUUCACCUGGACAUAGGUGCAACUUUUCAACUGCAUUGCUCCACCCUGACGACUCAGGAAGGUGUGGGAUCUCCAGGAAAACAAACAGAAACAAGAGAGAAGGAGUUAAAUAAGUGUGUACAUUAACUUUAUGUGUGUGUGUGUGGGUGUGUGUGUGUGUGUGUGAGUGUGUGUGAAUAUGACAGGGGGCAUCCAGUUACAAUCUGUAUCUUACACACGGGAAACCUGAGGACUGUUUGGAGCAUCUCUUUACCUGCAGGCUCACAGGGGUUUAAGUCGCUACCUAAUGAAACUCCAUCUGUGCAGGUUUAAUAUUUAAACACUGUUGAGAGUUUGGUUCCCCUUAGAGAUCAGGAUGGACACAUACCAGCACCCAAACUGCACCCAGUCACACUGGAGGGCCAGAUCUGCCACCAAGACAGGCACCGUGAAAUCAGCAAAACUUCAGAAAGGAAUCUGACGUGUGGUCAAUCUUUGUGAAUUUUUGUUUUAUUCCUGCCGAGAAGCCUGAAGCUCAAAGUAUCCUGACAAAAGGAUUACACUCUCAAAUUUUGGAACGAUCCCUUGGCACAUGCUAACCAACAGAAGUCAAACACAACUGCAGCAGUGAGAGGCAACAAACAGCAACUUACACAAUGUAUGUGAACUCCUCUGGAGCUGAGAGCGGUUACUCUCUGACCUUCCUGGGGAAGAAAGUAGGGAGGCAUCACUCUGUGGCUCCUGCAGGCAAACAACGCGCCUGGGAGCCAACUGAAAGGUUGAACUGUCCUGAGGACUCGGUGGUGUCUUUGCGACCUGGACGAGCUCCAGUGGCAGCGAUGGUGCCAGAGGACUUACCAGGCAGCGUCCCAGAGCUAGAGGACAAGAGGCCAUGCCCCAUAAUUCACAGCACACAGUUUGACCAAUACGAGAACAGAUCAGCAGGUCAGAGCAAAAAAUGACCCCCCCACCACUGACAGGCACACAUAUAAAGGUGGAGACUGUCGUUUUUUUUUUUUUAUUAUUAUUUUAGUAAUUCUUGCAGUACAAAAAUACAGUCUUUGAGGUCAAAUUAUGCCAGAUUUCAAAGUGAGACCAGCAGAUAAUGGGGUUGUGUUUUUCCCUGUAACACCUGAUAUAAUCGCUUUUUUCCCACUUAAAAGGUGUUUCUGAGAGGAAAGUAGCAGCGUGACGACACGCCUACAUUCUUGUGUGAGGAAACAAAGGAGAGAGAGGGAUGGGAAUGGUAGAAACAGAAGGUGAUAAAAUAGUCAGAGGAAGAGUAUUAAAUGGAAUGUGUCAGUAUUGCAGUUAAGCCUGAAGCCUCUUUGAUGGUUUCUCUUAAAAAUGAAUUAAACAGGGACUUAAUACAAAAUAAUAUUAGAAAUGUAAAUAGACAAUAAACUGUAUUUUAAGCAUGCAUAACAAGGCUGUAAACCAUGUAAUAAACCUAAUAAAUAUUAUUUUAAUGAUGCACGCA